rnacentral:piRNA from 1 species
UUUUGGGCCACAGAUGGGAACCCUGGG